rnacentral:rRNA from 1 species
AGUGAACGCUGGCGGUAGGCCUAACACAUGCAAGUCGAACGGCAGCACAGUAGGAGCUUGCUCUUACGGGUGGCGAGUGGCGGACGGGUGAGGAAUACAUCGGAAUCUACUUUUUCGUGGGGGAUAACGUAGGGAAACUUACGCUAAUACCGCAUACGACCUACGGGUGAAAGCAGGGGAUCUUCGGACCUUGCGCGAUUGAAUGAGCCGAUGUCGGAUUAGCUAGUUGGCGGAGUAAAGGCCCACCAAGGCGACGAUCCGUAGCUGGUCUGAGAGGAUGAUCAGCCACACUGGAACUGAGACACGGUCCAGACUCCUACGGGAGGCAGCAGUGGGGAAUAUUGGACAAUGGGCGCAAGCCUGAUCCAGCCAUACCGCGUGGGUGAAGAAGGCCUUCGGGUUGUAAAGCCCUUUUGUUGGGAAAGAAAAGCAGCAGGUUAAUACCCCGCUGUUCUGACGGUACCCAAAGAAUAAGCACCGGCUAACUUCGUG